AAAGAACCUGAAACUCGUUCACCCUAUUCUAAUAGAGAGAGUAAAACUCAUACUGGCGGCUGCCGCUAAUCGAAAAUGGCAGCUAAAGAAGCAAUUAUCAUCACAGACAAGGAUGAGAUGAGAAAAUGGACAAGGAGCAUGAGAGCCCAAGGCAAUACAAUUGGCUUUGUACCCACCAUGGGCUACCUCCAUCAAGGUCAUCUUUCUCUAAUCCAAGAAGCACACAAUCAAGCUGACCUUAUAGUUGUCUCCAUCUAUGUUAAUCCAGGUCAAUUCUCACCCAAUGAAGAUCUUUCAACAUACCCAUCUGAUUUUCAAGGCGAUAUACAGAAACUCAACUCUGUACCUGGUGGGGUUGAUGUUGUAUUCAACCCCAAAAAUCUGUAUGACUAUGGGAAUUCUCAAAUUGGAAAUGGGUCUGACAGGAAUUUAGAAGAGAGUGGGGGAAUGGUGGUGUCUUGUGUUGAAGAUAAAGGGAUGGGCCAUGAAACUUGGGUUAGAGCUGAAAAAUUGGAAAAGGGAUUGUGUGGGAAUAGUAGGCCUGUUUUCUUUAGAGGGGUUGCUACUGUUGUUACCAAGCUGUUUAAUAUAGUUGAGCCUGAUGUUGUCGUCUUUGGUAAGAAGGAUUAUCAACAAUGGAGGAUUAUUCAGAGAAUGGUCCGAGAUCUUGAUUUUGGGAUAAAGGUGAUUGGUUCUGAAAUAGUACGAGAACAUGAUGGCCUUGCAAUGAGUUCCCGUAAUGUGAAACUUUCACCUGUGGACAGACAAAGGGCUUUAUCAAUUAGUGGUGCUCUGUCUUCAGCACAAGUUGAAGCAGGAAAGGGUCAGGUUAACUGCAGAGAACUGAUAAAUACUGCCAUUCUUACCAUAUCUGAAGCCGGUGGAACGGUUGAUUAUGCUGAGAUUGUGGAUCAAGAAAGUUUAGAGCCAGUGGAAACCAUCAAGAGACCAGUUGUAUUUUGUGUAGCAGUAUGGUUUGGAAAGGUUAGGCUCAUUGACAACAUGGAAAUUGAUGUGUAAAUUGAGAUGCAUGGAGCCACUAAAUAUACAGUUUUACCUGGGUUUGCAAUGACUUUUUCUCAAAGAUAUUUACUUACGCAAGGGUAUGAAAAGUUAUACUCCCUCCGUCCCAUUGUAUAUGAGUUAGUUUGACUCAACUGAGUUUUAAGAAAAAAAUGAAGACUUUAGAAACUUGUGAGAUAUUUGUGUGAAUAUAAAUCAUU
rnacentral:misc_RNA from 1 species